rnacentral:rRNA from 1 species
GACGAACGCUGGCGGCGUGCUUAACACAUGCAAGUCGAACGAAGAGCGAUGGAAGCUUGCUUCUAUCAAUCUUAGUGGCGAACGGGUGAGUAACGCGUAAUCAACCUGCCCUUCAGAGGGGGACAACAGUUGGAAACGACUGCUAAUACCGCAUACGAUCUAAUCUCGGCAUCGAGGAUAGAUGAAAGGUGGCCUCUACAUGUAAGCUAUCACUGAAGGAGGGGAUUGCGUCUGAUUAGCUAGUUGGAGGGGUAACGGCCCACCAAGGCGAUGAUCAGUAGCCGGUCUGAGAGGAUGAACGGCCACAUUGGGACUGAGACACGGCCCAGACUCCUACGGGAGGCAGCAGUGGGGAAUCUUCCGCAAUGGACGAAAGUCUGACGGAGCAACGCCGCGUGAGUGAUGACGGCCUUCGGGUUGUAAAGCUCUGUUAAUCGGGACGAAAGGCCUUCUUGCGAAUAGUGAGAAGGAUUGACGGUACCGGAAUAGAAAGCACGGCUAACUACGUG